CAGAGCGCCAUGCGAUUGGCCAGAAGGGGCGCGCCGAAGAGCCAAUGAUCAAACUCAGCGAUGAAGUCAUCAAGCAUGUUGCCACCAUCUGGAUGCUAGGGGCGUGGCCUGACGUACUCCCCUAACCCCUUGCUUGAUGCGUAGUAGGACAGCAUCUAGUGACUGAUGAAAGCAAUAUAAACCACUGUUCCAAGACAGAAUGACGUAUAGAAACGUAUGACUGUUCGUUGCGAAGUUCCUCCGAGAGCCAGAGAAGCCGUAACAUAUCAAAUCCUCUGAAGCGCCAUCCUGGAAUCUUGAGGCAACGCGCAGCGACAGCGACCUCUGUCGGCUUCAAGUUGAAAUGCCUUCUUUUGAAGCGGAGAAGCCACAUAUCAACACACACAGCCCUGCCCUUUGACCUGACCCUCACUAUGAUGACGACCCCUUUACUUUGACUCUCCAGCGCUGUCAUUCAGCUGUGAUACAUCCAUCCCGUUAUCCUACACUCCCACAGGGAACCGUAUUCCCUCCUCUAGCUUCCGAAAUGCAGACAACGACUGAGAUGAUAAAAGGGAGAUGACAGACAGAGAAUGUGACAAAAACAAAAUAUAACUGGGAGGAUGAGACGAACCAGAGUCAGAAAUAUGAUCACACGUUUCAUUUGGAUUAAACAAGCAUGUCUAUUGGGGGUUUUAUUCAUACAAAAAAGAAGCUUACUGAUUAAAGUGAAAUACUUUGCAUUUGAUUUUGUUUGCAAGUUAUAUGAGAGGAUGCUGAAAGUUACCAGUAUGGAUGGACGUAAUAUUAACCCUAAAAUGCAUACCUAGGGACUCAAGUCUUUUUUUUUUUUUUUUUAAAGCUGUGCCUACACCUCUUUAAUGUUUCUCAAUUUAUCUCUUAUAAAUAGUGUAUUUUGCCAAAAUUGCAAAAUCAAUAUUUUUUAUAAUGGUUUAAGUACCAAAAAUGUUUAGGGUCAUUAGAGACCCUGGGUUUGUAAUCGUGUCUUUUUUUUUUUUUUUUUUUGCACUUCCAUAAAUAAUAUUUGUAUGAUUAUUUCAUAUCUAUCAAGUUUAUUAUCACAGGAUAACUAUUUCUUUUUUUAUUGCAAGAUAAAUUUUUACUAUAUUUGUAUAUUCAUACAAAUAAACACUAUAUCAGGUUGAUUUUCUGUGCCACAAUGGUGAAUUAUCUGUAUCCCAUAUGUGUAUACACAUAUUACACGUUAUUUCUUACUCAAGGUGGCACUGUUGUUUCAGUGACUGACAUUUGACAUUGUUAUCUGAUGAAGAAAAAACAUCAAAGUAAACUAUAGUAAGUACAACACAUGAACAGUAUGAUUUGACUAUUGUCAUCUGGGUGAACUACUGAAAUGAUUUAUGUUGUGCAUCUAUUUAGACUCAAUAAGUGCCUCAGAAAAUACUUAUGUGUAACUUAUGUGUAGCUUAUGUAGGUCAAUAUGUGUUUGACAGCCAGUUGUGUCUCAUGAAAGUAAUGAAUCCUGUUCUAGAUAUGACCUGAUUUGUUGCAUUAUCUCUUUGACAUAUG